CAGCAGCCACGGGAAUACGUAGGGUGCGAGCGUUAAUCGGAAUUACUGGGCGUAAAGCGUGCGCAGGCGGUUGUGUAAGACAGGCGUAAAAUCCCCGGGCUUAACCUGGGAACUGCGCUUGUGACUGCACAGCUAGAGUAUGGCAGAGGGGGGUGGAAUUCCACGUGUAGCAGUGAAAUGCGUAGAGAUGUGGAGGAACACCGAUGGCGAAGGCAGCCCCCUGGGCCAGUACUGACGCUCAUGCACGAAAGCGUGGGGAGCAAACAGGAUUAGAUACCCCGGUAGUCCCUGUCUCUUAUAA
rnacentral:rRNA from 1 species